CUAACUUUCUCUCAUACACACAAACAAUCCUCGAUACAAACACCCUAUCUCACUCACACAUACACUCUCUCCUAUUAUACACUACAACCUCAACAGACUGUUCUAAAAUAGGCCUCGAUAAAGGCACACUAUAGGCAUCUAGACCACGUCAUCUCAAUUAAGUCGUCUGGACGCCAUGUCCCUGUCUGUUUAACCCUGCAAUGUAAAACAUUGCUG